GACGAACGCUGGCGGCGUGCCUAAUACAUGCAAGUAGAACGCUGAAGAGAGGAGCUUGCUCUUCUUGGAUGAGUUGCGAACGGGUGAGUAACGCGUAGGUAACCUGCCUUGUAGCGGGGGAUAACUAUUGGAAACGAUAGCUAAUACCGCAUAACAAUGGAUGACACAUGUCAUUUAUUUGAAAGGGGCAAUUGCUCCACUACAAGAUGGACCUGCGUUGUAUUAGCUAGUAGGUGAGGUAACGGCUCACCUAGGCGACGAUACAUAGCCGACCUGAGAGGGUGAUCGGCCACACUGGCACUGAGACACGGCCCAGACUCCUACGGGAGGCAGCAGUAGGGAAUCUUCGGCAAUGGGGGCAACCCUGACCGAGCAACGCCGCGUGAGUGAAGAAGGUUUUCGGAUCGUAAAGCUCUGUUGUAAGUCAAGAACGAGUGUGAGAGUGGAAAGUUUACACUGUGACGGUAGCUUACCAGAAAGGGACGGCUAACUACGU
rnacentral:rRNA from 1 species